GUGCUCGUUUCUGCAACACAUGUACUAAAAUUGGAACAAUACAGAGAUGAGCAUGCCCCCUGCGCAAGGAUGACACACAAAUUUGUGAGGCAUUGCAUAUUUUU